CUGAACGAAGAGGUUCCGCCGUACGGAGUGCCCCAAUGCGUUGGCCGGAUUUUUUCUUUUUUCUUUUUUUUUUUUUUUGAUAAAUAAGAGAAGGGACGACGGGAAGCGACCAUCCAAAAGGUGGAUCCACCACCAACUUUAUCUCUCGACCACAACUAACCCCAUCCACUCCCCUCUCUUCCGUUCUCGCUUUGGUUUUGGUCCUGCUAGACGCAAAGUCUGAUCCGCCAUGACUGCUUCUUUACCCGCCAAUUUCUCUCACAAACCCUGGGAUCCUUCCCCCGAUUCCCCUCCGAUAAUUUCUCUCACGCCUGAUCAGCUCAAUCACUGUGCUGAAGCGCUGGCCAGCUUUAGGCAGAGAACGCCGGAGAUGAUCGAUCAAGAGUUCGAUCAAUUGGAGGCCAAUGUGAUAACAAUAAGUGAGCUGAGGAGAAGAUGCACUGUUGCUCUGAAUGAAGCAAAUCUGGACAAAAAUCGGUAUCCGGAAAAUGUCCUGCCAUUUGAUGAGAACAGGGUUGUUCUGGAAUCAAGUACAGAUCCUAGACCCACGGCCAUGGGAUAUAUCAAUGCAAGCUUUCUCUCGCCCUCCUCCUCUGAAAGUGUUUCUCAGUUUAUAGCUACACAAGGUCCACUGCCACAUACUUGUGAGGAUUUCUGGGAAAUGGUAAUCCAAUACCGCUGCCCCGUCAUUGUAAAUCUCACUGCGCUUGUUGAACACAACAAGAUUGUUAAAUGUAGCGAUUAUUUUCAAGCCGAGGAUGGACCUAGAAAGUUUGGUAAUAUCACUAUUGUUUGUGAAUGGAUGAAAACUACUGAGAAAUCAUUGGUACUUCGCCAUUUGAAGGUGCAUAGAAAGGAAGAUCUGCCCUUAUCUGUUUUGCACAUUCAUUAUCUUGAGUGGCCUGACUAUGGAGUUCCCAACGAAACACAUGCUGUGCGUGCAAUUUUUAAGAGAUUGUACCGUUUACCACCGGAACUUGGCCCCAUAGUGGUGCACUGCAGGUAUCGGCAGAACAGGAGCAUACUGUGCAGUUCAUAAUACAAUUCAGAGAAUUCUUGCUGGAGAUAAGUCUGCCUUGGAUCUUCGUAAUACCAUAUGUGUCUUCAGGUCACAGCGAUAUGGAAUGGCUCAGAAACAGACCCAGUACAAUUUCUGCUAUGAAGCUAUUGUAGAGGCACUGGACGAGCUUCUUUCUAAUCAUCAGCAGUAAUGAGGGUAUGCCACUUCUGUCCACUUUCUGUUCUUGCGAAGAUUCUGCAGCCUGCACUGUUCUGGUUUUGAAAUCCUUGUGUACAACGAAUCUCUCUUGUCCACUUUCCUUCAUCCAUUAGUUGUGUAGCAUCUUUGUUCAUUCAAACGUCAAACCGUUCUGGUGGUAGCAUGAUAAAUUGCAGUCACAUUUAAUGUGAACAUCUCAACCAUCAUGCCGCUGAUUUGAAUUGGGAGAGCUUGUGAAUUUAAACUAAUGUUGCAUUGGGAUUAAUAACGGUUUAUUUUUAGAUUUGGGCCACGUCCUCUAUUUGGAUGCAUGAAAACAUGUAGAUUUGAUUCAAAUCUAAAUUCAUUUUUAUUAGAAUUCAUUUAUAAUUUCAAA